CUUUAAGAAUAAUUAUGUUUUAUGAUACUUAAAAAUAGUUUCUCCAAACUUUUUGGUAACUGGAAACUUCGGAGUUUUGUUAAAUGAUGGAAAUUUAUUAAGUAUCCAGAUCAUUCCCAAAUAAAAUAAGAUGCUGAAACAUUAAUGACUGCAUAUGGAAAUGAAAGCGAAAGUCGCUCAGUCGCGUCUGACUCUCUGCAAUCACGUGGACUGUCCGUGGGAUUCUCCAGGCCAGAAUACUGGAGUGGGGAGCCUUUCCCUUCUCCAGGGGAUCUUCCCAACCCAAGGACUGAACCCAGAUCUCCCGCGUUGCAGGCAGACUCUUUACCAGCUGAGCCCCCAGGGAAGCCCAGUUACGGGAGUACAAUUACUAACUAACUUUGAAUUAUGAGAUGUUUCAUGAAAGUCGCUCAGUCAUGUCUGACUCUUGGCGAUCCCAAGGACUAUAGUCCGCCUGGCUCAUCUGUCCAUGGGAUUCUCCAGAGAUACGUUUCCUCUUCAGAGAAGUUCAUGGAAAGGGCUCUGACGCUUCUCCAGAGGACAUGGACACGGUUCUGAUAAACUUCUGCAUCAUACCAUUCAAUCGGGUGAGAAUUUACAGAAGAAACUGAUGGCUCCAUAAAACUGCUAACGGAAGAUCAAGAGCAGUAGUUAAUCCCCUGGGGACUUCCACUGUCGGCCGGUGGUUGGGACUUUGCCUUCCAAUGCAGGGGUGCAGGUUUAGCCUCUGGUCAGGGAACUAGGAUCUCACAUGCCACGCGGCGAAAACGAAAACCAAAGCAUAAGACAGAAGUAAUGUAACAAAUUCAAUAAAGUUUAAAAAAAAUAAUUCCACGG
ensembl:lncRNA